GGUGGAGGUCUGAGGCGCUGAGGAAUGCCUGCUCUUCGCUUCUCCCCCUCCGACGUGACGUGGCCAAUGAGAAGGUCUGUAGCGGGAGGGACGGCUCCAUCUCGAGUAGGAGGAACCGGAGGAGGAACGGGAGGAGAAUGGAGGAAGAGAUGACCUGCAUCAUGGACCCCGUCUAGAGCCCCCACAAAACAGAACAGGGAGAUGGAGCAGGGGUGAUGGGGACGAUGGGGCUCGGUGUUGGGGCGGGGGGGGAGGUGUUAGUGAUGCCUCACAUUCACCCACUAAUGCACACUUUCACCCACCGACGGUGGUGUGACCCAUGCAAGGGGACAGCCAGCUCGUCGGGAGCAGUUAGGGUGAGGCGUCUCGCUCAGGGACACCUCGACACUUGAACUAGCAACCUUCCGGUUACCAGCCGACCUGCUCUACCUCCUCCAAUCACCCAGUUCACAGCCAGGCAGGGUGGACAGAACCCUGUUGAGUUGUUCAUGCUGACGGCUCUGCCUGCUGGCUGGGCUGGGAGGGGGAGGGGCCGGACUCUACACAUCGAGACUUUAAUGAAUCUGCUUGAAAUGCAAAUCGUGUUUUACAGCACCACUGAAUUUUCAUUUGUCUUCUGUUUGCUAGAGCUUUGGUGCGGGCACCUUACACACGCACACACGCACGCACGCACGCACACACACACACACACACACACAUCCACACAUUGGCAGUGUGUGAAUGGAAAUUGAAUCAAUAAUGUAAUCAAUUCAUUAGACAUUGUUGCAGCCAAUAAGCUCGCUUCAUGAUCAUCUUUUUUAAAGGCACAGGAGACAGAAGCCCUCGUCCACGAGCUGCGUAUCAUCUUCUCUGCCUGGUCUAACGGCGUCUCAGGUGUGAGGGUCACCUGACAGGGGUUCAGCUGUUCAUCUGAUCACAUGAUGAACAAACACUGGUCUCUCGUCAUGAGGAGAGGAGAUGAGGAGAUGAGACGAGGAGAGGCGAUGAGGAGAGGAGAUAAGGACAGACCAGAUCCUCUCAGAAGACAACCCACGUGCAAACAGGCACUACGUUUGAAUUGGCAUUCUCAUGUGUCUCAUGCAUGGAGCAGGUGCCUCAUCCGUGUACCAACACGGGCCAUCUGCAGGCCCCAGAGUGGAGCUAUGAUGAGCUGCAGUAUGGGAGGUUUCUGGCAGUUUCCCCCUCAGAUGAGCCUGGUUUUCUGGGAGGCCCUGAGAGCAGACCCUGAAGAGACGCCCACGGGCAGCAGUCUGGAUGGAGAAGCGUGGAGAUAAGAACGCAGACUCAUGCGGAGACUGCAGGGGGCCGCGAUCCUAGCAGGGAGGAGAAUGCGUGGGUGCUCUCUGCAGACCCACUCGCUCCCCCGAAGGGCCCAGCCCACAUAAACACUGUUUCCUACUACAUUAGUACCUCCUGAGUCAUCAGAAAACAGAGAACAUUGAAUCAUGACGGCACGACGCAGAACCCUAGAGGCGGCCAUUAGUGAGGACAUUCGCUCAUUAACCUGGUAUUUGGAAAACUUCCCCGCAGACGCUUGCACACAAUGUUGUGUUGUUCUGUUGUUAAGAGGGGAUUAAAAAAGGCCAUUACAGCACCCCCUGCUGGCCCAAGAGGCUGCAUUUCUUCCCCUUUCCUCGACUCCCUGCCCAACCGUCCUAAUCAGAACGGAGUGCGUGAGUUGAUAUUGAGGACAUGUCUGUCUCUGGUUUCCUGCUGUUUAUGUCUUGAUGUCUCCCGUGAUGAAUUCACAUCUUUAGUUAAUUGGCGGAUAUUUCAGUAAUUAUUUUAUCCAAGGGACUUGUGGCCGGGAAAACUCUACAUUACCCCGAUUGAAUGUUGUUCUGAAAGGCUUUAUAUUUAGGAGUUUAUGCCAAUAAAACAUGUGUUCUAUCCAA